AGGACGAACGCUGGCGGCGUGCCUAAUACAUGCAAGUCGAACGGUCUUUUCUAUGGAAGCUUGCUUCCACUGAAAAGAUAGUGGCGAGCGGGUGAGUAACACGUGGGUAACCUGCCCAUAAGAGGGGGGAUAACAUCCGGAAACGGGUGCUAAUACCGCAUAGUUUUCUUGAUCGCAUGAUCGGGAAAGGAAAGACGGCCUUUGUGCUGUCGCUUAUGGAUGGACCCGCGGCGUAUUAGUUGGUUGGUGAGGUAACGGCUCACCAAGACGAUGAUACGUAGCCGACCUGAGAGGGUGAUCGGCCACAUUGGGACUGAGACACGGCCCAAACUCCUACGGGAGGCAGCAGUAGGGAAUCUUCCGCAAUGGACGAAAGUCUGACGGAGCAACGCCGCGUGAGUGAAAGAAGGUUUUCGGAUCGUAAAACUCUGUUGUCAGAGAAGAACAAGUUGGAGAGUAACUGCUCCAGCCUUGACGGUAUCUGACCAGAAAGCCACGGCUAACUACGUGCCAGCCGCCGC
rnacentral:rRNA from 1 species